rnacentral:rRNA from 1 species
CUACGGGAGGCAGCAGUGAGGAAUAUUGGUCAAUGGGCGCAAGCNUGAACCAGCCACGUCGCGUGAAGGAAGACGGCCCUACGGGUUGUAAACUUCUUUUGUAAGGGAAUAAAGUGCAGUACGCGUACUGUUUUGCAUGUACCUUACGAAUAAGGAUCGGCUAACUCCGUGCCAGCAGCCGCGGUAAUACGGAGGAUCCGAGCGUUAUCCGGAUUUAUUGGGUUUAAAGGGUGCGCAGGCGGGAGAUUAAGUCGGCGGUGAAAUUUUGCAGCUCAACUGUAAAAGUGCCUUCGAAACUGGUUUUCUUGAGUGUAGAUGAAGUAGGCGGAAUUUGUGGUGUAGCGGUGAAAUGCAUAGAUAUCACGAGGAACUCCGAUUGCGCAGGCAGCUUACUAAGCUACAACUGACGCUCAGGCACGAAGGCGUGGGGAUCAAACAGGAUUAGAUACCCUGGUAGUCCACGCAGUAAACGAUGAUUACUCGCUGUUUGCGAUAUACAGUAAGCGGCUUAGCGAAAGCGUUAAGUAAUCCACCUGGGGAGUACGUUCGCAAGAAUGAAACUCAAAGGAAUUGACGGGGGCCCGCACAAGCGGAGGAACAUGUGGUUUAAUUCGAUGAUACGCGAGGAACCUUACCCGGGCUUGAAAUGCAUCUGACAGGGGCGGAGACGCCCUCUCCCUUCGGGGCAGAUGUGUAGGUGCUGCAUGGUUGUCGUCAGCUCGUGCCGUGAGGUGUCGGCUUAAGUGCCAUAACGAGCGCAACCCUCAUCAUUAGUUACCAUCAGGUGAAGCUGGGGACUCUAGUGAGACUGCCAUCGUAAGAUGCGAGGAAGGUGGGGAUGACA